CUUAUACUCCCUCCGUCCGGAAAUACUUGUCGAAGAAAUGCAUAAAAAUGAAUGUAUCUAAAACUAAAAUACAUCUAUAUACAUCCAUUUCUCUGACGAGUAUUUCCGAACAGAGGGAGUAUUAU
rfam:Triticum aestivum genome assembly, contig: Triticum_aestivum_CS42_TGACv1_scaffold_579216_7BL